rnacentral:rRNA from 1 species
AGUGAACGCUGGCGGUAGGCCUAACACAUGCAAGUCGAACGGCAGCACAGUAAGAGCUUGCUCUUACGGGUGGCGAGUGGCGGACGGGUGAGGAAUACAUCGGAAUCUACUUUUUCGUGGGGGAUAACGUAGGGAAACUUACGCUAAUACCGCAUACGACCUACGGGUGAAAGCAGGGGAUCUUCGGACCUUGCGCGAUUGAAUGAGCCGAUGUCGGAUUAGCUAGUUGGCGGGGUAAAGGCCCACCAAGGCGACGAUCCGUAGCUGGUCUGAGAGGAUGAUCAGCCACCCUGGAACUGAGACACGGUCCAGACUCCUACGGGAGGCAGCAGUGGGGAAUAUUGGACAAUGGGCGCAAGCCUGAUCCAGCCAUACCGCGUGGGUGAAGAAGGCCUUCGGGUUGUAAAGCCCUUUUGCUGGGAAAGAAAAGCAGCAGGUUAAUACCCCGCUGUUCUGACGGUACCCAAAGAAUAAGCACCGGCUAACUUCGUG